rnacentral:snoRNA from 1 species
UGUCAAUGAUGAACAACCUUUUCAUUCAGUUCUGCUACUGAAUACUGUGAUGAUAACCCAUUUACCAAAACUCAUGUCUGACAU